CUUAAAUCUAUUUAUGUCCAGAGCAAAGUGAGAUGACUGUUUAUUGGUGAUAACCCUGAAAAAUGUGUGCAAACUUACAGUUUGACAUUGCCAGAGGAAACUUCCUUGUUCGUCUGGAAUUGUUUUCCAUGACAAAUAAGAGCUCUCAGUACUCUCGGACAACUUCCUAUUUUCUACGCUAUGGAUCCAAGCAAGGGCUAUGUUUAUGUGCUUUAUUUAACUCUCCCCAACAGAGUUGUCCUCUGAUCUGCUGAGAGCCGGCUAAAUUUCUAUGUCAGCACACAUUUUCGGCAGGUGACUUCUUAAAAAAGGGUUUUAGGGAUUUGAUUCACUUCAACCAGCCACAAAUGAAGAUCACAUCCAGUCCUUAUGAGCUUAUUGAGCUCAUACAACAGAAAAACAUCCUUUCCUCCUUUGCUGUGUAACUUCAGUGAUGCAUGUACAGUACUCUGGUCCAGCAUGCAGUGUUUUACAGUCAGUGCACAUCUCCCAGGGCACAUGCAUCUGCCUGAACUUACCUGACGAAAGGAAACUCUCUUCAAAGUCUCUUGGCUUUUAUCUAAAUACAAACCUAUCUUUCAGACGUAAAGUGCUUUAUAAAUACAUGAAAGUGUAGAUGUAUGUAUGUCUGUUUCUAUUUAUGCCAAAUAAUUACUGUAACUUGCAGCCACCUUUGUUGAUCGUACUGAAAUCAAUUAUAAUCAGACUUACUCCUUGCUGUGAUGAAUUAGUGGGC
ensembl:lncRNA